rnacentral:rRNA from 1 species
UACGUAGGGUGCGAGCGAUAAUCGGAAUUACUGGGCGUAAAGCGUGCGCAGGCGGAUUGUUAAGCAAGAUGUGAAAUCCCCGGGCUUAACCUGGGAAUGGCAUUUUGAACUGGCAGUCUAGAGUGCGUCAGAGGGGGGUGGAAUUCCACGUGUAGCAGUGAAAUGCGUAGAGAUGUGGAGGAACACCGAUGGCGAAGGCAGCCCCCUGGGAUGACACUGACGCUCAUGUACGAAAGCGUGGGUAGCAAACACG